rnacentral:rRNA from 1 species
UACGUAGGGCGCAAGCGUUAUCCGGAAUUAUUGGGCGUAAAGAGCUCGUAGGCGGUUUGUCGCGUCUGCUGUGAAAGACCGGGGCUCAACUCCGGUUCUGCAGUGGGUACGGGCAGACUAGAGUGCAGUAGGGGAGAUUGGAAUUCCUGGUGUAGCGGUGGAAUGCGCAGAUAUCAGGAGGAACACCGAUGGCGAAGGCAGAUCUCUGGGCUGUAACUGACGCUGAGGAGCGAAAGCAUGGGGAGCGAACAGG